GCUCAACUCCUGAACAUCUCUUCCCAAGAGCAAGUUGGAUCACACUUCCCACGUCCUUAUUGUCUCCAAGGAUUAUUUUAUCGAUCUUUCGGAGCUCAUCUCGACCACCGAUAGAAGUCUUCUCAAUAACUACCUGAUCUUCAACUUUGUGUCAGCCUUCAUGCCGUAUAUGUCAGCAGAGAACAAGCGCGUGUGGGAUCUAUACCACAUGGAAUUUACAGGCCUCCAAGAACCGGCCGAGCGAUGGCAGUUCUGCAUUCGGACGACCUCGAACUUCUUCGGCCUCGCCCUCGGCUCGCUCUACGAGAGGUCGCCGCGGAGACUGAAAGCGAGGCAGCGAAACGGA